UACGGAGGGUGCUAGCGUUGUUCGGAAUCACUGGGCGUAAAGGGCGUGUAGGCGGUCUGUUAAGUCUGAUGUGAAAUCCCCUCGCUCAACGAGGGAACUGCGUCGGAUACUGGCAGACUCGAGUACCGGAGAGGAAGGUGGAAUUCCCGGUGUAGCGGUGAAAUGACGCAGAUAUCAGGAGGAACACCGGUGGCGAAGGCGGGUCUCUGGGCCGAUACUGACGCUGGAGGAGCGAAAGCGUGGGGAGCGAACAGGA
rnacentral:rRNA from 1 species